CAAGUCGAACGAGCAAAGAGGAGCUUGCUUUCUCAGCUUAGUGGCGAACGGGUGAGUAACGCGUGAGGAACCUGCCUCAAAGAGGGGGACAACAGUUGGAAACGACUGCUAAUACCGCAUAAGCCCACGGCUCGGCAUCGAGCAGAGGGAAAAGGAGCAAUCCGCUUUGAGAUGGCCUCGCGUCCGAUUAGCUAGUUGGUGAGGUAACGGCCCACCAAGGCGACGAUCGGUAGCCGGACUGAGAGGUUGAACGGCCACAUUGGGACUGAGACACGGCCCAGACUCCUACGGGAGGCAGCAGUGGGGAAUAUUGCACAAUGGGGGAAACCCUGAUGCAGCGACGCCGCGUGGAGGAAGAAGGUCUUCGGAUUGUAAACUCCUGUUGUUGAGGAAGAUAAUGACGGUACUCAACAAGGAAGUGACGGCUAACUACGUG
rnacentral:rRNA from 1 species